rnacentral:rRNA from 1 species
UAGGCGAUGGAUAACAGGUUGAUAUUCCUGUACCACCUAUAAUCGUUUUAAUCGAUGGGGGGACGCAGUAGGAUAGGCGAAGCGUGCGAUUGGAUUGCACGUCUAAGCAGUAAGGCUGAGUAUUAGGCAAAUCCGGUACUCGUUAAGGCUGAGCUGUGAUGGGGAGAAGACAUUGUGUCUUCGAGUCGUUGAUUUCACACUGCCGAGAAAAGCCUCUAGAUAGAAAAUAGGUGCCCGUACCGCAAACCGACACAGGUAGUCAAGAUGAGAAUUCUAAGGUGAGCGAGCGAACUCUCGUUAAGGAACUCGGCAAAAUGACCCCGUAACUUCGGGAGAAGGGGUGCUCUUUAGGGUUAACGCCCAGAAGAGCCGCAGUGAAUAGGCCCAAGCGACUGUUUAUCAAAAACACAGGUCUCUGCUAAACCGUAAGGUGAUGUAUAGGGGCUGACGCCUGCCCGGUGCUGGAAGGUUAAGAGGAGUGGUUAGCUUCUGCGAAGCUACGAAUCGAAGCCCCAGUAAACGGCGGCCGUAACUAUAACGGUCCUAAGGUAGCGAAAUUCCUUGUCGGGUAAGUUCCGACCCGCACGAAAGGCGUAACGAUUUGGGCACUGUCUCAACGAGAGACUCGGUGAAAUCAUAGUACCUGUGAAGAUGCAGGUUACCCGCGACAGGACGGAAAGACCCCGUGGAGCUUUACUGUAGCCUGAUAUUGAAAUUCGGCACAGCUUGUACAGGAUAGGUAGGAGCCUUUGAAACGUGAGCGCUAGCUUACGUGGAGGCGCUGGUGGGAUACUACCCUAGCUGUGUUGGCUUUCUAACCCGCACCACUUAUCGUGGUGGGAGACAGUGUCAGGCGGGCAGUUUGACUGGGGCGGUCGCCUCCUAAAAGGUAACGGAGGCGCUCAAAGGUUCCCUCAGAAUGGUUGGAAAUCAUUCAUAGAGUGUAAAGGCAUAAGGGAGCUUGACUGCGAGACCUACAAGUCGAGCAGGGUCGAAAGACGGACUUAGUGAUCCGGUGGUUCCGCAUGGAAGGGCCAUCGCUCAACGGAUAAAAGCUACCCCGGGGAUAACAGGCUUAUCUCCCCCAAGAGUUCACAUCGACGGGGAGGUUUGGCACCUCGAUGUCGGCUCAUCGCAUCCUGGGGCUGUAGUCGGUCCCAAGGGUUGGGCUGUUCGCCCAUUAAAGCGGUACGCGAGCUGGGUUCAGAACGUCGUGAGACAGUUCGGUCCCUAUCCGUCGUGGGCGUAGGAAAUUUGAGAGGAGCUGUCCUUAGUACGAGAGGACCGGGAUGGACAUACCUCUGGUGUACCAGUUGUCGUGCCAACGGCAUAGCUGGGUAGCUAUGUGUGGACGGGAUAAGUGCUGAAAGCAUCUAAGCAUGAAGCCCCCCUCAAGAUGAGAUUUCCCAACUUCGGUUAUAAGAUCCCUCAAAGAUGAUGAGGUUAAUAGGUUCGAGGUGGAAGCAUGGUGACAUGUGGAGCUGACGAAUACUAAUCGAUCGAAGACUUAAUCAA